AUUGAACGCUGGCGGCAUGCCUUACACAUGCAAGUCGAACGGCAGCACGGACUUCGGUCUGGUGGCGAGUGGCGAACGGGUGAGUAAUAUAUCGGAACGUGCCCAGUCGUGGGGGAUAACGUAGUGAAAAUUACGCUAAUACCGCAUACGAUCUAAGGAUGAAAGCGGGGGAUCGCAAGACCUCGCGCGAUUAGAGCGGCCGAUGCCUGAUUAGCUUGUUGGUGGGGUAAAAGCCCACCAAGGCGACGAUCAGUAGCUGGUCUGAGAGGACGACCAGCCACACUGGAACUGAGACACGGUCCAGACUCCUACGGGAGGCAGCAGUGGGGAAUUUUGGACAAUGGACGCAAGUCUGAUCCAGCCAUUCCGCGUGAAGGCGACGGCCCUAUGGGUUGUAAACUUCUUUUGUAUAGGGAUAAACCUAGAUACGUGUAUCUAGCUUGAAGGUACCAAAGGAAUAAGCACCGGCUAACUCCGUGCCAGCAGCC
rnacentral:rRNA from 1 species